AUUGAACGCUGGCGGCAUGCCUUACACAUGCAAGUCGAACGGCAGCACGGGGGCAACCCUGGUGGCGAGUGGCGAACGGGUGAGUAACAUAUCGGAACAUACCCUAGAGUGGGGGAUAACGUAGCGAAAGUUACGCUAAUACCGCAUACGAUCUAAGGAUGAAAGUGGGGGAUCUUCGGACCUCAUGCUCAUGGAGUGGCCGAUAUCUGAUUAGCUAGUUGGUGAGGUAAAGGCUCACCAAGGCGACGAUCAGUAGCUGGUUUGAGAGAACGACCAGCCACACUGGAACUGAGACACGGUCCAGACUCCUACGGAGGCAGCAGUGGGGAAUUUUGGACAAUGGGGGCAACCCUGAUCCAGCAAUGCCGCGUGAGUGAAGAAGGCCUUCGGGUU
rnacentral:rRNA from 1 species